GGUAAGAUGGCCGAGCGGUCUAAGGCGCUACGUUCAGGUCGUAGUCUCGUAAGGGGCGUGAGUUCGAAUCUCACUCUUAUCA
rnacentral:tRNA from 2 species